ensembl:misc_RNA Y_RNA Y RNA
GACUGCCACAAUGAUGUGAGUUCAGGAAUGAAUGUGUGUUGAAAAUAGCAUGUAAUCUUUCAAAAAACUUAGUUUAUUCCUUCUUUACUCCCACUGCUUCACUUGACUAGCCUUUA